GAUGAACGCUGGCGGCGUGCCUAAUACAUGCAAGUCGAGCGAAUGGAUUAAGAGCUUGCUCUUAUGAAGUUAGCGGCGGACGGGUGAGUAACACGUGGGUAACCUGCCCAUAAGACUGGGAUAACUCCGGGAAACCGGGGCUAAUACCGGAUAACAUUUUGAACCGCAUGGUUCGAAAUUGAAAGGCGGCUUCGGCUGUCACUUAUGGAUGGACCCGCGUCGCAUUAGCUAGUUGGUGAGGUAACGGCUCACCAAGGCAACGAUGCGUGGCCGAACUGGGAGGGUGAUCGGCCACACUGGGACUGAGACACGGCCCAGACUCCUACGGGAGGCAGCAGUAGGGAAUCUUCCGCAAUGGACGAAAGUCUGACGGAGCAACGCCGCGUGAGUGAUGAAGGCUUUCGGGUCGUAAAACUCUGUUGUUAGGGAAGAACAAGUGCUAGUUGAAUAAGCUGGCACCUUGACGGUGCCUAACCAGAAAGCCACGGCUAACUACGUGCCAGCCGCCGCCGUAA
rnacentral:rRNA from 1 species